CAAACUAUUUUUGAUAGCAGCAGAACCAUUUUACAUUCCCACUAGCAGUACACAAGUGUUCCUAUUUUCCUGCAUACUUGCCGACACCUGUUAUUUUCCAUUCUUUUGAUUAUAGCUAUCUUAGUGAGUGUUUCACCUGAAAGUUUUACUUUACAAUCUUUUAUCUCGUAUUCUAUAAACGCCAUCAUUUCUUGAGAGCAAAAAUUUCAGGUGUACAAUAGAGUGAUCCCACAAUUUCUUACAGUACUCAGUACUCAACAUGAAGGCAAAAAUUACAGGAUCACUCUAAAGCUUUCCCAUUCUUCUCCUGCAUUUGAGUCCCUGCCAAGAUGUAAGUGAUGGUAGCUGACUUCCUUGCUACAGCAAGCUCUGAAUAAAUAACCUUUGCCUGUUCUCAUUUAGUUGGUCUCCAUUUAUUUCUACAAACUACAUAUUUCCCUUUCAAAAUCACUUGCAUUGAACCUCACAUUUUGAUAAGAAGUGUUUUCAUUAAAAUUCAGCUCUAACUUUAUUAUUUUUGUUAUGAUUUCUUCUUUGAUGAUACUGGAGUUAUUUAUAUGUGUUUAUCUUAAAUUCCCAAAUUUACGGGUGUUUUUAAUCCCUUUGGUUUUGAUAUCUAUUGCUAUUUAAGGCUUCUUACAAGUAUCUGGAGAAAUAUAAUUGAAAGCAAAAUUUCCUCCCAUCCCAGGAAAUCUUUUUACCAAGAUGGAAGAGAAAAAAAUGUCAGUGUAAUUAUUGAAUCAGCAUUAAAGAAAUCAUGGUGUUCAUCAUAGAAGUUCAUUAAGAGAUUGCAAAAACAGGAGUGCUUGGGUGGCUCAGUCAGUUAGGCAUCCGACUUUGGCUCAGUUCAUGAUCUCCCAGCUCAUGGGUUUGAGUCCUAUGUUGGGGUCUGUGCUGACAGCUCAGAGCCUGGAACCUGCUUUGGAUUCUGUGUCU